rnacentral:rRNA from 1 species
AAUCGAUUCCCUGAGUAGCGGCGAGCGAAACGGGAAGAGCCCAAACCAACAAGCUUGCUUGUUGGGGUUGUAGGACACUCUAUACGGAGUUACAAAAGUAUAUAUUAGACGAAUCAUCUGGGAAGUUGAAUCAAAGAAGGUAAUAAUCCUGUAGUCGAAAAUAUAUACUCUCUUGAGUGGAUCCUGAGUACGACGGAGCACGUGAAAUUCCGUCGGAAUCUGGGAGGACCAUCUCCU